rnacentral:rRNA from 1 species
GUGUCAGCAGCCGCGGUAAUACGGAGGGUGCGAGCGUUAAUCGGAAUAACUGGGCGUAAAGGGCACGCAGGCGGUGAUUUAAGUGAGGUGUGAAAGCCCCGGGCUUAACCUGGGAAUUGCAUUUCAUACUGAGUCGCUAGAGUACUUUAGGGAGGGGUAGAAUUCCACGUGUAGCGGUGAAAUGCGUAGAGAUGUGGAGGAAUACCGAAGGCGAAGGCAGCCCCUUGGGAAUGUACUGACGCUCAUGUGCGAAAGCGUGGGGAGCAAACAGGAUUAGAUACCCCCGUAGUCC